AUUGAACGCUGGCGGCAGGCCUAACACAUGCAAGUCGAGCGAGCGGCGGACGGGUGAGUAAUGUAUGGGGAACUGCCUGAUAGAGGGGGAUAACUACUGGAAACGGUGGCUAAUACCGCAUACUAUCGGAUGCACCCAAAUGGGAUUAGCUAGUAGGGGGGGUAAAGGCUCACCUAGGCGACGAUCCCUAGCGGGUCUGAGAGGCUUAACUGCCACAUUGGAACUGAGACACGGACCAGACUCCGACGGGAGGCAGCAGUGGGGAAUAUUGCACAAUGGGCGCAAGCCUGAUGCAGCCAUGCCGCGUGUAUUAAGAAGGCCUUAGGGUUGUAAAGUACUUUCAGCGGGGAGGCGUUACCCGAAGAAGAAGCACCGGCUAACGCCGUGCCAGCAGCCGCGGUAAUAC
rnacentral:rRNA from 1 species